GUGGGGAAUUUUGGACAAUGGGCGCAAGCCUGAUCCAGCAAUGCCGCGUGCAGGAAGAAGGCCUUCGGGUUGUAAACUGCUUUUGUACGGAACGAAACGGUCCUGGCUAAUAUCCGGGGCUAAUGACGGUACCGUAAGAAUAAGCACCGGCUAACUACGUGCCAGCAGCCGCGGUAAUACGUAGGGUGCGAGCGUUAAUCGGAAUUACUGGGCGUAAAGCGUGCGCAGGCGGUGCUGUAAGACAGGCGUGAAAUCCCCGGGCUCAACCUGGGAAUUGCGCUGGUGACUGCAGUGCUGGAGUGCGGCAGAGGGGGAUGGAAUUCCGCGUGUAGCAGUGAAAUGCGUAGAUAUGCGGAGGAACACCGAUGGCGAAGGCAAUCCCCUGGGCCUGCACUGACGCUCAUGCACGAAAGCGUGGGGAGCAAACAGGAUUAGAAACCCGAGUAGUCC
rnacentral:rRNA from 1 species